GUAGUUAGCCGGGGCUUCCUCCAUGGGUACCGUCAUUAUCUUCCCCAAGGACAGAAGUUUACGACCCAAAGGCCUUCUUCCUUCACGCGGCGUUGCUGCAUCAGGCUUGCGCCCAUUGUGCAAUAUUCCCCACUGCUGCCUCCCGUAGGAGUCUGGACCGUGUCUCAGUUCCAGUGUGGCCGAUCAGCCUCUCAGCUCGGCUACCCAUCGUUGGCUAGGUGGGCCGUUACCCCGCCUACUACCUAAUGGGACGCGAACCCCUCCUUUAGCGGAUUUCUCCUUUGACCUCUGUGUCAUGCGGCACUGUGGUCUUAUGCGGUAUUAGCACCUGUUUCCAAGUGUUAUCCCCCUCUAAAGGGCAGGUUGUUCACGCGUUACUCACCCGUUCGCCGCUAAUCCACCCCCGAAGGAGCUUCAUCGCUCGACUUGCAUGUGUUAAGCACGCCGCCAGCGUUCGUCCUGAGCCAGGAUCAAACUCUGA
rnacentral:rRNA from 1 species